rnacentral:misc_RNA from 1 species
AUGUUACAUUGGUCACAUCUUCUCGAGAAGAUAGACAAAUGCUCAAAGGAUGAGUCCGUUAAACCGCCUCCAAGGAACCGAGAUCAACCGAACCAUUUGGUUCGAUUUUUGAUAAAUGAUUUAGAAGGUGACCCUUAUGAAAAACUCAGUACCUACAACCCCUGUUUUCGGUGAUUUAUAUAACACAAAAUUCACUUACCCAAGACACAUAGGUUACUAAUUCCUAGGAAUUAAGAAUUUGACGCCAUCUAUUUAUAGAUGGCGUUUUAGUUUCUAAU